rnacentral:rRNA from 1 species
GACGAACGCUGGCGGCGUGCUUAACACAUGCAAGUGGAGCGACGAACCGGGCUUCGGCCCGGGGCAAAGCCGCGAACGGGUGAGUAACACGUGGGUUACCUGCCCCGAUGACUGGGACAACCCGGGGAAACCGGGCUAAUACCGGAUGUGCCCUAAGGGGGAAGGAAGCUUCGGCCUCCGCAUCGGGAUGGGCCCGCGGCCCAUUAGCUUGUUGGUGA